UUUGGAAUUCUAUGGACCACUUUGACCCCAAAUAAGUAUGGAUAGAUUUACCCCGAAAUUAUCGCGACCCUAGAAAACCUGUCAUUCCCCUUUCGCCGGAGACAGCACCAUCACUUCACUGUGUGUCCGUGACUCCAAUACACAAGCCUCUAUGUCUGAAUCUGAUGUGGAAAAGGAAAGAAAGACAGCACAAGAUGAUAUUGCAGCCACAUCAUAUGUUAAUGGACCAUACUCUAUUCCGAAUUGCAUCGAUGUCUUGAUAAUUGUAAACCAGAAAAAACAUGGCAGGAUGGAUUGGAGUGAGGAUCGAUUUAGCUAUGCUUUAGAAUUGAUUAAAGAUAGCAAAAAUAGAGUCAUUGUUGUUUCUUUAAAAAAUCGGAUAAAUGAACUGGCCAAUUGGAUAAACCACAAGUAUAGCAAUAGAAACCGCUAGAAUUUGUUUUCAGAUGUUACUUUUUAUUUGUAUGUGAAACUUCCUUAUGUAAUAAAUAUGUUCUUGUCAUUUAUGAUUUUUGUUUUUCCUUGCAA